GUGCCAGCCGCCGCGGUAAGACGUAGGUGGCAAGCGUUGUUCGGAAUCACUGGGCAUAAAGCGCGCGUAGGCGGCUAAGUCAGUCGGGUGUGAAAUCCCUCGGCUCAACCGAGGAACUGCGCCCGAUACUGCUUGGCUUGAGGAUCGGAGGGGAGAGUGGAAUUCCCGGUGGAGCGGUGAAAUGCGUAGAGAUCGGGAAGAACGCCGGCGGCGAAAGCGACUCUCUGGUCGACCCCUGACGCUGAGGCGCGAAAGCUAGGGGAGCAAACGGGAUUAGAAACCCGCGUAGUCC
rnacentral:rRNA from 1 species